ACCAUCUUGAUGUUUGUAGCCAGUUAGCCUGCUCGAGGUAAUUGGUGUGGCGUGGCGAUCCUUGGAAACGCUGUGCCGGUGACUCGCUUGUUUUAAGCUUUCAUCGGCGGCCCCUCCGGCAAGAACCAGCCAGUGUGUGGAACCCAUUGAGUGUAGUACGUCGGCAGCCUGGUGGUGAGAGGAACCCCUUGUGUGCGCACACAGUGAAAGAUAAGUAGUAC